rnacentral:rRNA from 1 species
AGCGAACGCUGGCGGCAGGCUUAAUACAUGCAAGUCGAGCGCCUGUAGCAAUACAGGAGCGGCAGACGGGAGAGUAACACGUGGGAACGUGCCCUUUGGUUCGGAACAACACAGGGAAACUUGUGCUAAUACCGGAUAAGCCCUUACGGGGAAAGAUUUAUUGCCAAAGGAUCGGCCCGCGUCUGAUUAGUUAGUUGGUGAGGUAAUGGCUCACCAAGGCGACGAUCAGUAGCGGUCUGAGAGGAUGAUCAGCCUCAUUGGGACUGAGACACGGCCCAAACUCCUACGGGAGGCAGCAGUAGGGAAUAUUGGACAAUGGGCGCAAGCCUGAUCCAGCCAUGCCGCGUGAGGGAUGACGGCC